UACGUAGGGACCAAGCGUUGUCCGGAAUUAUUGGGCGUAAAGAGCUUGUAGGCGGUUUGUCGCGUCUGCUGUGAAAUCUCAAGGCUCAACCUUGAGCUUGCAGUGGGUACGGGCAGACUAGAGUGUGGUAGGGGAGACUGGAAUUCCUGGUGUAGCGGUGAAAUGCGCAGAUAUCAGGAGGAACACCGAUGGCGAAGGCAGGUCUCUGGGCCACUACUGACGCUGAGAAGCGAAAGCAUGGGGAGCGAACAGG
rnacentral:rRNA from 1 species